GCAGGCGGCCCUGCGCUUGGACCCCUGGCGUCGGAGGUGUCAGUGGGAAGCGCCCUGCGGGCUUUGGGCAGUCCCUGGGCUCCGGAGCGAGGCCGUGUGCCUGUGGAUGAUCCUCACCUGUAGGGAGACGCUUCCCGACUCCCGAGCUCGGGGAGCAGCCGGGCCUCGCAGCCCUGCACCGGGGACGCCAGGCUCCGGGGGAGGCUGGGCGCUUUGUGGCCUUGCUGGGAGCCUGCAUCCCUACCCCGUCCUCCGUGGGGGGCCAUCAGCACCCGCCGUGCUUGCGGCUCUGUUUGCCGAUCCAGGCGGUCGUGACAGCAUCGGUCACUGGAUGGCUUCCCACUUCCUGCCAGACACUGCACGCACACGGCUCAUGGCACCUGCUGCCCGGCGCCCUUGGCUGCACAGGAAACAGGCCCAAGGGCACAGGGACUUCCCUGUGUGGCUGGGCCUGUCUCUCUGAGAUGAUGAAGUCAGUCUGUCUGCGAGAUCAGUGCCUCUGGCGGGUCCAUGAUGACAGGAUGGUCAGGAUCAUGGGGCCGAGGCACACAAGUGACCAGUCACAAAGGGCACGACUCCAGAGUCCCACCUGUGCCCUGUAAUGCUGGCCAGGCCUCGGAGUCACCCGAGCUGUGGCUUCUCCUCUGUCAAAGGGAUCUUCCUAGCACUCGUGUCGACAAGCUGCCCCAUGUUUAGCUGCUGUUUUCUGACGCCACUGGACUCAAGGACUGGCAUCGCCUGGCACCCACUGCAUGUGCUCCAAACUCCCAGAGAGAAGCUCACGCUCCAAAGAAGACAUGCAGAUGCCAACAGGUACAAGAAAGGCACCCAACACUGCUAAUCAUCAGGGCAAUGCACAUCAAAGCCACAAAGAGGUAUCACCUCACAGCUGUCAGAGUGGCUAUCACCAAAAAGACAAGAAAUAAGAAGUGCUGGAGAGGGUGUGGAAA